rnacentral:rRNA from 1 species
ACUCCUACGGGAGGCAGCAGUGGGGAAUAUUGCACAAUGGGCGCAAGCCUGAUGCAGCAACGCCGCGUGAGGGACGACGGCCUUCGGGUUGUAAACCUCUUUUAGCAGGGAAGAAGCGAAAGUGACGGUACCUGCAGAAAAAGCACCGGCUAACUACGUGCCAGCAGCCGCGGUAAU